rnacentral:rRNA from 1 species
GAUGAACGCUGGCGGCGUGCCUAAUACAUGCAAGUCGAGCGAACGGACGAGAAGCUUGCUUCUCUGAUGUUAGCGGCGGACGGGUGAGUAACACGUGGAUAACCUACCUAUAAGACUGGGAUAACUUCGGGAAACCGGAGCUAAUACCGGAUAAUAUUUUGAACCGCAUGGUUCAAAAGUGAAAGACGGUCUUGCUGUCACUUAUAGAUGGAUCCGCGCUGCAUUAGCUAGUUGGUAAGGUAACGGCUUACCAAGGCAACGAUGCAUAGCCGACCUGAGAGGGUGAUCGGCCACACUGGAACUGAGACACGGUCCAGACUCCUACGGGAGGCAGCAGUAGGGAAUCUUCCGCAAUGGGCGAAAGCCUGACGGAGCAACGCCGCGUGAGUGAUGAAGGUCUUCGGAUCGUAAAACUCUGUUAUUAGGGAAGAACAUAUGUGUAAGUAACUGUGCACAUCUUGACGGUACCUAAUCAGAAAGCCACGGCUAACUACGUGCCAGCAGCCGCGGUAAUACGUAGGUGGCAAGCGUUAUCCGGAAUUAUUGGGCGUAAAGCGCGCGUAGGCGGUUUUUUAAGUCUGAUGUGAAAGCCCACGGCUCAACCGUGGAGGGUCAUUGGAAACUGGAAAACUUGAGUGCAGAAGAGGAAAGUGGAAUUCCAUGUGUAGCGGUGAAAUGCGCAGAGAUAUGGAGGAACACCAGUGGCGAAGGCAACUUUCUGGUCUGUAACUGACGCUGAUGUGCGAAAGCGUGGGGAUCAAACAGGAUUAGAUACCCUGGUAGUCCACGCCGUAAACGAUGAGUGCUAAGUGUUAGGGGGUUUCCGCCCCUUAGUGCUGCAGCUAACGCAUUAAGCACUCCGCCUGGGGAGUACGACCGCAAGGUUGAAACUCAAAGGAAUUGACGGGGACCCGCACAAGCGGUGGAGCAUGUGGUUUAAUUCGAAGCAACGCGAAGAACCUUACCAAAUCUUGACAUCCUUUGACAACUCUAGAGAUAGAGCCUUCCCCUUCGGGGGACAAAGUGACAGGUGGUGCAUGGUUGUCGUCAGCUCGUGUCGUGAGAUGUUGGGUUAAGUCCCGCAACGAGCGCAACCCUUAAGCUUAGUUGCCAUCAUUAAGUUGGGCACUCUAAGUUGACUGCCGGUGACAAACCGGAGGAAGGUGGGGAUGACGUCAAAUCAUCAUGCCCCUUAUGAUUUGGGCUACACACGUGCUACAAUGGACAAUACAAAGGGCAGCGAAACCGCGAGGUCAAGCAAAUCCCAUAAAGUUGUUCUCAGUUCGGAUUGUAGUCUGCAACUCGACUACAUGAAGCUGGAACCGCUAGUAAUCGUAGAUCAGCAUGCUACGGUGAAUACGUUCCCGGGUCU